AUAGUUGAAGAAAUAGUCAAUGCAGACACGAUUGAUCCAACAAUUGUGGAUGAAGUUGAGGAAGAAGAUAUUGAAAUGGUGGUGGCAGAAUGUAUGAGUUGGAUGCUUGGAGAGAUUGAAAAGAGAAUAUAGGAUGGAACUGGAUUUCCUGGGCGGAAUUGCAGAAUAUCGAAUCACGACUUCUCGUCUGGCGAAGAUCCAUCCUUAUAGGAAAUUCUGCAAGAAGAAUAAAGACUGCUACAAGGGAUCACGUGUCACUGAUCCCAGAUUCAAAUCGAAUCAGAUACACAUUGAGGUGGAUUACACCAAAAGAAGUUGACUGGUGUAGUCAGCAGUCAGUAUGCGCCUGGUACGGGGUACCAUCUUGGCGUUGAAGACCUGAAUUUUAUUAAAGAACCUAAGUGUGCUUAAGCAGGGAGCCAUGGCAAGAAGAGCGAUACGAUCAAUAUAAUAUGCGAUAUGAUAUAGCUAAAUGAAGUUUAUAUGGUUCGACUUUAAUUAUGUCGCUGUUUGGGCGGUAAAUGUCAAGAUCGAAUGAGUUUGUGUUUGUAACUUGUAUAAAAUUGUCAUUGGUGAAAUUCGCAAGUAGACAAAUUAUAUACUACUUUCGAAUAAACAUUCAGUUUAAAAUAGAGGAAUGUGCCAAUUUUAUGUAUGUCAAAUAUUAUAACCUUCUCACUGUAAUAAAUACAUUCAAUCUUAUGCAAUGCAAGAACACUUUUCAUUAUCUCUUAAAUCGAUUUGCGUAUGUAUUCUUUAUUAAUUCGUAAGAUCUGUGAAUUUGUAUCAUAUUAUGUAAUGAUAUAAAUAUGACAUAUACUCAUCUAGAUAUAUAUUAUUGCAUCUUGUGAGACGUAAAUACCUAUUCAUUAUAAUGUGUUUGGUAACAUUAUGAUAAUGUUUAGUUUUACCAUAUGUUUUCGUUGAAAUGAUCAUUGUCAUAAAUGC